UUCAGUGUUAGGACUGAAUCAAAUGACAAUCGUUUGAAGCGCUUCAUGCGAUCAUGAGAGAAGCUUUACUAUAUUUUGUUUUCUUUUCUAUGGUAACAGUGCAGUCGCAAAAACCGCAUGCGUUUGCGAAAAAGUUUUGCAAAUAUCGUUGCUUGUUCCACUGUAGCGUUCCCAAAAAAAAUCUAAACCGGUGCUAUGGAAGGAUACAAGCGUCUUGAUUCAAAGAUCCAGUUGGGCAUGUACGAUAUCAUCAGCAGCUUCCUUGGAACUACAAAAGAGCAAACAGCUGACCGAAGCUCAAAUGUAACAAGGUCGUCGAAGUCUCUCAGAUUGCUACCCACAAGCUCCAUGUUGCGAUUCAAAAUCGGAAUCACAAUCCUGAACUAAGCACCGUAGGCUGAUUUGUUGGAAGCCGGAUUUUUUUUAGUAUUUGUGACGGUAUCUUUCGUGUGCAUGAAAUGAAGAAAACCCAAGAAAAUGGAGCAAUUCUCUUCCGGUAUCAAAGUUGGCUUUAAAAAAGAGAUAUUUGCUCAUGCCAUCGUCGAUGUUCUGAUCGGUAACAAGUUUCUAGACCAUGCCAUUGAUGCGCUGGGUAACGCUGUUACGGAAAGAGCAAAAUCGCCACCGCUCAGAUUCUGCGAGUCGGUAUCCAUACAGGCUGGAAAACUCGCAUUGAAGAUAUAUACUAUCAUAGGCGUUUCAAUGACCGUCAAUCUCGUCGAAUAUGUACUAUCAUAAAUCGCCAUCGCUCAAGUGUUCGAUUGUGGCCAAAGAGAUGCUUGGCCGAUGCCUUUCAAGAAUUACACUGUCAUUAUUCCGGUUAUCUGGUGCAACUUUGCGAGACCUUGGUAGAACGUACUUUAAAGGCGAAAGAAGGCGACAACGGAAAAAGAAAACUACGAGUACGACGAAAUAAAAGCAUCUCUGAAAUGAUAACUGAAUCCGGUGGAGAUCACAUUAAUCGGAGAGGUUUAUUUGAAGAAAACGCUUCCUCGACGGAAAAUAUUUCCUGCUGUCAGAAAUCAAAUGCACUUGCCUUUUUUCUAAUCGCAGCAUAGAGUUAUUGUUAUUGGAAUUUAAAUUGAAAGAACUGUA